GGGGGCGACAUGGCUUCGACGCCGAUGACAACCUCCUAGGUGCAUGCCGAGAGCGUGAUGUAUCUCGUAAAUCCAACAUCACGACUAAAUAGUCGCAAACGACGAAAACUAUGCUCAAGGUGCACUGGCAGCGUAAAAACUGCUAGUUGUUAGCCUGGCCCCAAGGCGAUGUGCCUGUUCAUCGCUGCGGGGAUACGAGCUAAAGCUGACAGGAUCGCGAUUGGCGGCGUCUUCUCGUCAAUCGUUAAACUUCAGAAGAAUCGCGCCAUGGAAUCCUGCCCGUCGGAGUUCAUGGUGCUAAAUUAAAAGACGGACCUAAGCAUGUAGAGCCGAAGAGCGAGUAUCGGCGGACGGGGGUUCAAUUCCCCCCGCCUCCACCA
rnacentral:tmRNA from 1 species